CACUAGUCUCCCCAUACAUGUAGUGUCCAGAGGUGGAGGUAUGUGUCCAGUCACCGCCCUCCUCUGUCAGGAUUACUGGGGCAGGUAAUGACUGGAGUGUAUGGGCUGCCGGGAGGUGUAGGUCAUGUGACUCUGGGACGUGUGGUGAUGACGUUAGUUCAUGGUGAGAGAUAACGGACAUGUUAAAAUAGAGCGGUCUCCGCUCACCGGACCCUCGCAGGACGCACGGAGCGAGAACAGCAGAAGAGACGGAGAAUUCCAGCCCCAAAGUUCCUACAAUAUAGGAUCUGCUCGGUGGAUAUCUUCUAUAUAAGAUCCUUCUCCUUAUUUAACUGUCAAGGAUGGAUAGGGACAGGGACAAAAUGGUGGAGAGUCUAAUAAGCCUCACCCUAGAGAUCCUCUUCCGGCUUACUGGAGAGGACUACACAGUAGUGAAGAAGACCUCUAGUGAGCGCUGUCGGGACCCUGUGUCUAAA